UGAAUAACUGCACCAUGGUUCUGGAGGGGAGUGGCCUCAUCAAUGGGCAGAUGACAAAAGACCUUGGGACUCUGAUGGCCGGACACACCAUCCGAAUUCAACUGGAGCUCUACCCCAUCAAAGCUGGGCGCCACCAGCUACAAGUCCUCAUCAGCAGCAGUGAGGUCAAGGAGAUCAAAGGCUACAAGGACAUCUUCAUUGCGGCAGCUCCAGCCUCCUGAGGCCUGCCUUCCUAAUGCCCUCCCCAGUCCUUGUCCCAGCCCUGCUUCCCACCCCCAGCAUAGCCUCACAGCUCUCUACUUCUCAAGGUGGUUGGUGUCUUUGUUAACCUCUGUGGUGUGGGUAAUAGAAACUCUGUAGAACCACUGUGCAUCAUGGGAAAAAACAAUAAAGAUGUGUUCACUCUCUCCUCUGCUAAG
rnacentral:lncRNA from 1 species